GAUAGAAGUCUGCUGCACUGCCUGUCUCGAGGAGUCGUGACUCAGAGCAAGUUGGACUCACUGACCAGCAAACAGACACGAGACCUCAGCCAUGCACUCAGUUUUCCCAAGGUGCAUGCAGUGGUGUACUGCACAUGCUCAGAGAGGCCCGAGGAGAAUGAAGUUCUUGUGCAGAGUGUGCUGGAGAGAGCAGAAAUCCGCCCAAAACUCAUACAUUUCAGACUGAUCCCCCCAGCUGUGGGCUGUGGGGCAGAGCAGACCUCUCUCAGACUGGAG